rnacentral:lncRNA from 1 species
AUCAGACACCUAUAAAUUCAGAAGUGGGAUUAAUGAUCGUACGCGAGUGACGCGCAGUUUAAACUUGAAUAUUAAACACGAUUUUUUCGUCGAGUUAAAAAUCGUAUAAAAUAUUUCGUGUCGUGCACAAUGAAUAAUCGAGCUGUGUGCCGUUGACACAACGUUUUUUUCCUCAUAAUAUCAUUUUCCUCAUAGAUUAUCGUCGUGCGAAAGUGUGAGAGUCGUUCGCGAUUUGUUAAGUUAAUUUGACGGUGGCGAAGGUGGUACAUUUUGGAAGUGGGGAGCAACAGAUACGUCUGCUGCGAAUAUUUUUUAACCUCAAUGAAUGGCUACGAGAAUUUUGAUGAGUUCGAAAUUGAAAGUCCGUGCUCUCGAGUGAUUUCAUUUUAAACCUGAACAUGUUACGGUGAGCAUCGAAGAACUUUUGACAGAGAUGAAAGGAAUAUUCGAUUUGCGCCAGUCAAAAAUGGUAUUACGAAAAAAGUUUGAACAACGAGUAUGGAAUCAGAGUAAAACGUUUACAGACUAUUACCACGACAAAAUAAUAAUUAUUGCGAAUCGUGUUCCGAUCAAUGACAACGAGAUUAUCGAUUACGUUGUCGAUGGUAUACCAGACCAGAAUUUACGAGAUCAGGCACGAAUUAUGCAACUUGACUUUCAUACUGAUCUGUUAGAAUCAUUUAAAAGGGUCACACUACAAUCGAAGAAAUUUUUUGAUAAAGAUAUGAAGAAAUCAAACGAUCAAGAAUGGAAAAAUGGAGGAAAGAUACAGACGAAAGAAAUUUCAUCAUCAAAGGGGAGUUCGUCGUCUCAAGAAAGUUCCACGAUACCGAGCGACACAGCUCACGGGAUCCGACGAAAAGAAUUGCGGUCAGUGAAUAAGAGCAGUAGUUGAUCCAGGGUCUCCGACUGCAAAUUUAAAGGUCGAUAUAGCUCGAUUGAAGAAGAACUGUACUGCAGUACGGGAUCACAUCCUCGAAGAAAAAAUCGCCGAUCUUCCAGAAACACAGUAGCAGGCAGUACGGACUUGUUUUGAAGCCUCAAAGGUUAAAUCCGGCAACAAGCGUUGAUAUAUGAUUCAAUGGAUAUACGAAUGUCUAUUGAUGAGAAUAAAGAGCGCCUCAUUGUGCAGAGACUUACGCGAUAAAGAAAUUUUGCCGUUACCCAGUCGAAAUACUUUAAAUCGAUAUAUUCAAAGGAUAAGCGCGUCAACCUAUAGAUUUCAAGAACCCGUCUUUGAAUGUUUAACGAAGACAGGAAGGAUGGACAGUGCUUCGAAAUGAAAUAUCAAUAACUUUUUAAAUUACUAUAGCAACAACGCGGGUGCUACGUGCUCGUUCUUGCUAUCCUCAUCAUCUUUGCUAUCCUCAUCGACGUCGUCGUCUUCACUCGUUGUCGUCUUGGUGUCAUCCUCAUCGUCGUCGUUGUCGUCCUUCAUUCAUCGUCGGCCACGCCGUCCUCGUCUUUCACUCGUCGUUGUCUUCGCCGUUUUUAUGAUUCAUUUUAAUUUAUAAUUCAUUACAAAAAUUUUUCUCAUUCUCAGAUAUUACGUUAUAUUGAAUUAUCAUGCCCUCAUUAUCGGAACAGAACUGAAAGUAUCCUCUAUAGGAAUGUUUGCCUUUGAUUUGAUUUUUUUCGAUUACCAUUUGUUGACGUUACUUGGAAUUUUUUAACUAUCCACUGCAUCUGAAAUGCUUAGCAAAUAUUAGCCUCGGGCUUCUGAUUUUCAGGUGUUCUCUUGGUUGAUGAAGUGAAGUUAAGCGAAGCAAUUUCUUUCGAUCGACAAUCAAUGAAGUUCAAUGGCUUUGUUGAAAAUGGCGUUGUGUUUACCGCUCGGUAAACACACUCCUGAAGAUAAGAGAAAUACGAGAGCAAAUCAUGCACUUGUAUUUAUGUACCAACCGUUUAAAGACAGAUGAGUCCAAGCUUUGGGAUGUUUCCUCAGCAAGGAUUCUGUAACGAGGACAGUUGUGCAUAAACUCAUGUCAGAGUGUAUGGUGCUCUUAUCCAACUCCGGAUUUCACGUGGACGCAGUUACAACAGAUGGCGCACAAUGGGAUCGUGGUGCCUAGAAUAUAUUCGGUGUCAAUGAGAACAAUCUCAGUUGCCAACAUCCUUGCAACGAAAAUAAGUGAUUGUGGAUGAUUUCGGAUUUUCCACAUUUGUUUGAAUGUUUUCGAACUGGCGUUAUCAAAAAUAGUUCUUUCCAGAUGGAAAACUUGAAUAUUAAUACCCAGUAUCAAUGGAAGCAUUAAAAUUCAUCCUGAAUCCGUAAUCUUAAUGAAAACUUGUUUGUUUUUAGACACCAGAUGGAAUCGUGAAAAAACAAAACACUGGGAAGCGGUCCUACAGUGCGACGAAAAGUUCAUGAAACCGAAUUUGAAAGUGGCAUACCAAUUGACACCCACGCAUCUUAAUCUGACUGGGUACCAGAAAAUGAACGUGUCAUUCCAGUUAUUUUCGCAGUCAGUUCAAGCUGCCAUGCAAAUUUAUGAAACUAAGGACCCACAGUUGAAAGGUUUGAAACCAACAAGAGAUUCUUGCAAGAGAGUUGACGAUUCAAUCACUGCAAUAAUGUCGCGCAUUCCGAAAAAUGUUCGUACAUCACAGAGCUGUCCAAAAAGAAAGCUAUUGGCAGAAGUGUACUUUGCGUUUAUCUCGCAGAAGUGCGAGCACCGAGGCUGAUGUCCAACCAUACUGUCAAAGCAUAUUUCGUUCGCAUUCGUUGAAUUUUUCAAGGAGUACUUCGAAAUAUGAUCCAACUUCAUACUGAGAUUCUUUGGCAUGAUGUGCAAUGCAGGCGGCAGCAAUGAUCAUCCCAAUCCUUAAUUCUUCGCCCAAACAUUCCGAUUGCUCUGCACUUACUCUCUAGUCAAACCACCAAGAGGAUGCAACGUUGAUGGAUCUCUGAGAUGAUUGAAAGCCUCAUGCAAACAAAAGAUUCGUUAGGCACUGCGUCCAAAUCUCGUAGCAAAUGGUUGUCAUCCAUUGAUAACAUGCUUGAGAAUAUACGUGUCGGUGAGAUCCCCGCAGAGAGCCAUGAGCGUGAUCACAACUACGAAGAGUCUUCUAUUAAGUCGUUUGGGAAUGACAGCAUCCAUAAUCACACGUAUGAUGUGACACAAACCAGUCCAAAAGGACAAACGUACAUUGCCGGUUUUGUUGCCCGAGCAAUGAUGAAGAAAUUGAAGUGCCAGGAGUGCGUAAUAACUUUGCAAUCAAAGGAAGAAAAUGAUAGCCCACACGUAACAGCUAUUAAUCUGUUGGAGCGGUUUGAAGGACUGAUAUGGCCCAGCGGGACGUUAUUUCACUGACCGAAUUAAUAGAAUCGGCUGUUUUGGAUGUUAUUCGAAAAUUUGGUAUCCAGAUAGAUGCAAUCCACAAAAUUUUGGAACGAAUUUUCGAAAUCAUGAAUUUAGAAAUCGUCGGAUGUUCUGAUCACUUCUCGGAAAUCACGCGCAAAAUCAUUGAUUUUUGUGUCGUGAUGUGCGCUAAUUUUUACAGAAUAAAAAUUUACUACAGAACAUAUCGAAAAAAUGAUUGCAAAUUCAUACAUUCAAAUUAACAAUCACACGAUUAAUCAAGAUAAAAAAUUAUUGUAAAUUUAUACGAUCAUCCCAACAAAAAACUUGAAUGAAAAAAGAAAUUGAAUUUCAUUCUGCAGAAAUAAAACUUUCAUUUCAAUUUAUUACGCGUGUUUCUUAUUAAUCUACUCACGUCGUUCUGUAUUCACC